GGGCUGGUAGAUCAGCGGAAGAUCGCCGGUUUUGCAAACCGGAGGUCUCGGGUUCAAAUCCCGACCAGUCCA
rnacentral:tRNA from 1 species